GCUUAGUCACCUCCCUGCUUCCAUUAAUACGUGUGACACGUGUUCCGUGCCAUUAAAGAAGCACACACCCUCACUCUGCAUGCCACCGCCAGGUGUCAAAUUGGAAGGUUCUGAGUUUGAUAGUGGAAGCCAAGUGGCAACGCAGGAGAGAGUGUCCGUUUGACUUGGGAAGAAAAAAAUUAAUUUUCUGAAACACUCUUCCCUUCUCUGCGUGCUCCUUCAUCUUCCUCAGAAAACCAAACCUCCAUUUUUCUCCUCCAUCUCUCUAGAGACCUUUUUUCUUCUCUCUUCUGCAACUCACCCUCCUUUGCUCCGUUCACGUUUCAGCACCGUGAGAAGCGUCCCUGCACCGUGAGCUUUCCAUCAAACCGAUUGGUUUUGGAUUCUGAAACGGUUUGAGGAGUUUUGGGGUUUUAAACGUUAAGGGUAGAGGAGUAUACUGGAAUCUGUUUCUCUCUCUCUGAAGAACGAACGCACGUUGCUUAAUCCGGAUGGUGAGGCGUUACUUGAAGAAACGCUGGAAGAAGAAAAUUUGGAGGACGCCAACCUCGUCGAAGUUGAAG